GGAAAUGUUUGACACUGAAAAUUACAAGCUAGGAUAGAUAUGACAACUGUUUAUUUGGUGGAGGGGGUUGGUUAUAUAUAAGUUUCGUCCUGAUCCACACUCCAUACCAGUAGGUGGCGGUAAUGCACACCAUUAAGUUGUUUGCCAACCGCCAUUAAAACAAAAAGAAGAAGAAGACGAUAUGACAACUGAGACAGAAACACCGUGUGUGCACCCACUACGAACCAUGUCACUUUGAUGUUUGGCUGUCUGGUCCUGCUGAUGUCAUAUGCAGCCUCUGACAAGACCCAUGGUGAGUUGAGUGAUGCAGAAGAAACCAAGGUCAGGAAGAAGAAGCAAGAAUCAACGGCACUAAGCUUCCUCCCACUGCGAUAUCUGGGCCUGACAGACUGCCAAGUCAGAGGGAGGUAACCCUCCCUUCAUCUCAUUUAGGAAGACAUUACACCAAGCCAUGUUGAGAGAGCACCUGAGCUUUAAGGAGGUUCGUGUCUCCAGUGGUCAUUGAACGAGAACCAGGUUACACUCUACAGGUCGCCACACCAAGCUAAAGGAAUGAAUAAAAACAUCAUUGAAGGUUGAUGCAUCAAGUUUUAUCCUGGAACAUCAGGUCAGCAGAGGAAUCUAUAUAUAUAUAUAAUGUGUGUGUGUGUGU